AUGGAAGAUGAGGAGGAAGAAGAAGAGGUAGCUGCACCAGCACCUAAGGCACCCAAGCUAAUGGGUGAUGCCAUAAAAUCAGGGGGAGCUGCUUCCAAGGCCAAGCCAGCUCCAAAGCCAAAGCCAAAGAGGAACACAAGAAGCAUCCCAGCCACUGAGAAGAACAAGGCCCCAGUGCCUGAAGUUGCAGAAGAAGAGGAAGAGAGUGUCCUUCGAAAGCUCAAGCCCAAGAUCCCAGACCACAACGAUGCUCAUCCUGUGGCUGAGGAUAUGAAGCUCAGGAGAGACUCAGGGCUGAGGAAGUGGAGAGAAGCAGAUCCGUAUGCUUCAAGGAGAAGGACAGCAGUUGACUAUAGAUUUCACACCAAGGAGCAGUAA
rnacentral:rRNA from 1 species